GAUUGCAAGGUAACAUCCGUCUGGAAUACAAUAAACAAAAAUACCUUACCUUUGAUUCGGUCUAUCCUGGUGUCUUUCAUUCAACUCUAAUCAUCAUUUCUUGGCUGCUUCCUCGUCGACCACAACACAUGUGUUCACAACAUUAUUAUAUAUAUCAAUUAACAUCGAUAGUUUGCGCCAGCUCUCUUUUUGACUUUUGCUUUUCCGCCGCUAAAGUUUGUUUUCUUUCAUUUUUCACCCCUCAGCACAUCUACGGAAGAGAGAUCGAGAGGGGAAACUGGAGAAAGAAGAGAGAGAGAGAGUAGUAAGAAAGUGGAAUAGAAACAGAUCUGGACCCGGCAAGUCUCCGGCCACCGACCUAACACUCUGACAUCAUACACCUUUGGCUUCUUUAUACGACCUUUAGUCACUCAGGUGGUUCGAGAGAGAGAAUCUGGACAGAGGAAGUGAGAGAGGUGGUGGGCACGAUGGCGGAGCCUGGUCGGUGUGGCAAGGUGGAUUGACUUUCCGACGAAGUCGGCUAGGGUUCCAGCGAGAUUCCGGUAACCCAAUUCAGGCUCCACAGGUAGAAGAUUGAAAACAUACAACCAAAGCGAGUAGCCGAUUUUCCAAGUGUUAAAAGGUUGCUACAAAGGUGAAAAUUUGGACCUGUUCAAUGUUCAUCCACUAUUUUACUUUGCCUUAACAGGAUGUUUAUCCUUGAUUUUACUUUGCCUCUAACAGAUCAAACGACAAACAACCCUUUUUGUGCUAUAUAACUUAUCGCUAUGUUAAAUAUCAUCACAGAAAGCAUGUUAUUGGAAACUUAAUUUGUCGCUUAUCGUUAAUUGGUUAUGUUUAUGUAAAUUCGUUUUUUUAUACUCAAUUGGUUAAGUUGUUUUCGCAAAUUAUUACAAAGGUAAAAAUCCCGCCGCGAAACGCGGGGUUCCUUUACUAGUAUAUAUCAAAUUACAACGUUCGUUUGCGCUAGGAUGCUCUUUGAUGUUAAAACAUUGACCACCGAACUUUUUGCUUCUUAACCAUUCACCACUAAUGUUUGAGGUUUCUUUCUUGAAGCAUCUCCUACCUUUCCAACCCCUUUGGCCAUUUGUCUUCACCUGGUGAAAUAGAGAGAGAUCUGGAACAAAUUUACAAACACCCAACUUCAUCCUAAGUUGGUUUUAAAGCUUUCCACAAGACAGGGGAAAAGGGUGUAGAAAUAGAGGGCUGGUGAUCCGAAACAAAUCCGUAAAGAGGUGUAUUAUCGUCUCUUUUUGGCUAGAUAUGUAGACAAAUUACUCUUUUUUUUCUGUGUGUUAAACCAGGUUAACCCGUUAA